rnacentral:rRNA from 1 species
UACGUAGGGGGCGAGCGUUGUCCGGAGUUACUGGGCGUAAAGCGCACGCAGGCGGUGCACCAAGUUUGGAGUGACAGUUGUCGGCUUAACCGAGAAAGUGCUUCAAAAACUGGUGGACUUGAGGGCUUCAGAGGGACACGGAAUUCCGGGUGGAGUGGUGAAAUGCGUAGAGAUCCGGAGGAACACCGAAGGCGAAGGCAGUGUCCUGGGGAGUACCUGACGCUCAGGUGCGAAAGCCAGGGGAGCGAACGGG